rnacentral:rRNA from 1 species
CGCACGGGUGCGUAACACGUGGGUAAUUUGCCCUCGAGUGGGGGAAUAACCCGCCGAAAGGCGGGCUAAUACCGCAUAACACUCCCUGGACCCCGGUCUGGGAAUUCAAAGCCUGCAAGGGCGCUUGAGGAGAAACCCGCGGCCGAUUAGCUAGUUGGCGAGGUAAUGGCUCACCAAGGCUUUGAUCGGUAGCUGGUCUGAGAGGAUGGCCGGCCACACUGGAACUGAGAUACGGUCCAG